rnacentral:rRNA from 1 species
GAUGAACGCUGGCGGCGUGCUUAACACAUGCAAGUCGAACGGUGAAGGCGGAGCUUGCUCUGCUGGAUCAGUGGCGAACGGGUGAGUAACACGUGAGCAAUCUGCCCCUGACUCUGGGAUAAGCGCUGGAAACGGCGUCUAAUACUGGAUACGAGCUGCGAAGGCAUCUUCAGCAGCUGGAAAGAACUUCGGUCAGGGAUGAGCUCGCGGCCUAUCAGCUUGUUGGUGAGGUAACGGCUCACCAAGGCGUCGACGGGUAGCCGGCCUGAGAGGGUGACCGGCCACACUGGGACUGAGACACGGCCCAGACUCCUACGGGAGGCAGCAGUGGGGAAUAUUGCACAAUGGGCGAAAGCCUGAUGCAGCCACGCCGCGUGAGGGACGACGGCCUUCGGGUUGUAAACCUCUUUUAGCAGGGAAGAAGCGAAAGUGACGGUACCUGCAGAAAAAGCGCCGGCUAACUACGUG